rnacentral:rRNA from 1 species
GCAGCAAACUGUGCGUCAUCGUGUGAACUGCAGGACACAUGAACAUCGACAUUUUGAACGCAUAUCGCAGUCCAUGCUGUUAUGUACUUUAAUUAAUUUUAUAGUGCUGCUUGGACUACAUAUGGUUGAGGGUUGUAAGACUAUGCUAAAUAAGUUGUUUAGUUUCAUUUAUCAUAUAUUAUAUGAUUAUAUGGAAUUUAAGCAUAUGGUAUAUUAUUGGAUAAUUUAAUAUUAUUCAUAAUAUUGAUUAGCAAAUGUUUACAAAAUAUCUCAAAAUAUUUUUUGUGUCAAAGAAAAAAUUUUGUCUUUAUAUCAAAUAAUAUUGAGAAAGGUCUAGCAUAAAAUUAACACAGUUAUACUAGAAUUGUCUCUUGUUAAUGAUCAAAGAAAUAUAUAUUUACAAUUUUUUAUUUAUAUUUUACAGAAUUUCUUUUUUUUUCUUUGUAUAUACAAAAUAAUAUGAUAUUUUUAAAUAUAAAAUAUAUAAUAUGAAAUGAUGAAAAUCAUUUGAUUUUAAUAUAUUUAUUGUGUUUUUAUACAACCUCAACUCAUAUGGGACUACCCCCUGAAUUUAAGCAUAUUAAUUAGGGGAGGAAAAGAAACUAACAAGGAUUUUCUUAGUAGCGGCGAGCGAAAAGAAAUCAGUUCAGCACUAAGUCACUUUGUCUUUAUGGCAAAUGUGAGAUGCAGUGUAUGGAACGUCUUAAAUCUAGUAUGAGAAAUUAACGAUUUAAGUCCUUCUUAAAUGAGGCCACUUACCCAUAGAGGGUGCCAGGCCCGUAUAACGUUAAUGAUUACUAGAAGUCGUUUCCAAAGAGUCGUGUUGCUUGAUAGUGCAGCACUAAGUGGGUGGUAAACUCCAUCUAAAACUAAAUAUAACCAUGAGACCGAUAGUAAACAAGUACCGUGAGGGAAAGUUGAAAAGAACUCUGAAUAGAGAGUUAAAUAGUACGUGAAACUGCUUAGAGGUUAAGCCCGAUGAACCUGAAUAUCCGUUAUGGAAAAUUCAUCAUUAUAAUUGUAAUAUUUAAAAAAUAUUAUUAAUGAUAGUGUGCAUUUUUUCCAUAUAAGGACAUUGUAAUCUAUUAACAUAAAUAAAUAUUUAUCAAAAAGUCUAUGAGCUUAAGUUUAUUCAAAUUAUUUUGCUUGCAUUUUAACAUAGAAUAAAUGCUUAUUGAUUUGAUAAAGUGUUGAUAGAUUUAUCAUAUAUACAAUGCGUUAAUUCUUUUGAAUUAUAUAAUAGCAUAUUAAUCUAUGAUUUUUGUGUUUAUUAUAUGCAUUUGUAUGAUUAACAAUGCGAAAGAUUCAGGAUACCUUCGGGACCCGUCUUGAAACACGGACCAAGGAGUCUAACAUAUUUGCAAGUCAUUGGGACUUUAUAAACCUAAUGGCAUAAUUAACUUGACUGAGUUAUAAAUGGGAUUAGUUUUUAAAUUUUUUUAAAAUUUAUUAACACAAUCCCGGGGCGUUCUAUAUAGUUAUGUAUAAUAGUAUUUAUAUUAUUUAUACCUCUAACUGGAACGUACCUUGAGCAUAUAUGCUGUGACCCGAAAGAUGGUGAACUAUACUUGAUCAGGUUGAAGUCAGGGGAAACCCUGAUGGAAGACCGAAACAGUUCUGACGUGCAAAUCGAUUGUCAGAAUUGAGUAUAGGGGCGAAAGACCAAUCGAACCAUCUAGUA